GGGAGCUCGAGGACGCGAGGCCGGGUCCUGUAGAACCGGAUCGCCGACUUAUGCGGGCUGGCUCGCGGAUAUCCGUUCGAGGGUCCGGGAGCGAGAGCUGAUUGAACUGGCGCGCUGGCAACCCCGUUUACCGGGGCGCCAUCGCGUGAGAUUCAAAAGGUAAACUACACACGUAGACGCUGUCGUUGAUCUGCUUUCGGACGCGGGUUCGAUUCCCGCCGCCUCCACCA
rnacentral:tmRNA from 1 species